UUGUUGUCGGCAAUUGGUAGCCGACUCUUCGAGCGGAGAGCCCUUCUUUAAAAGAAAGGAACGGAAGGCUUCGGCCAAUACCCGUCCCUUGUUUUUCCUCGUCUCCUCGCUCGCCGGAGCUGCGAUCCCACGACGGGUGUGCCAUAUAAGGGCUAUUAUGUGGCGUGCUGGGGCGAAGCUCGCUGCUCUCACCCUUCUUGGUGGAGCAGGGGCCGUGGCCAUCGCUACGUCUGACGAUCCCUCAAGCACUUUCAAGAUUUGCACUAUCGUUCCCCUUCGCCUCAAAAGGAAAGGAACGGAAGGCCUCGGCCUAUACCCGUCCCUUGUUUUUCCUCGUCUCCUCGCUCGCC
rnacentral:lncRNA from 1 species